UGUAGCUCAGUUGGUAGAGCACCUGAUUUGUAAUCAGGCGGUCGGUGGUUCGAGUCCUCUCA
rnacentral:tRNA from 1 species